AGGUCAUGUUGUGGGCAAUUUCUAAGUAACCGCUUGAACCUCUCCCAUGCUUCAUAAAAUGACUCACCUCCUUGUUGUUCGAAGUUAGAAAUGUUUUUCAUGAAUUU